AGUGAACGCUGGCGGCAGGCCUAAUACAUGCAAGUCGAACGGCAGCACAGUGGAGCUUGCUCCAUGGGUGGCGAGUGGCGGACGGGUGAGGAAUACAUGGGAAUCUGCCCAGUCGUGGGGAUAACGUAUGGAAACGUACGCUAAUACCGCAUGCGCCCUUCGGGGGAAAGUCGGGGGACCGCAAGGCCUGACGCGAUUGGAUGAGCCCAUGUUCGAUUAGCUAGUUGGCGGGUAACGGCCCACCAAGGCGACGAUCGAUAGCUGGUCUGAGAGGAUGAUCAGCCACACUGGAACUGAGACACGGUCCAGACUCCUACGGGAGGCAGCAGUAGGGAAUAUUGGACAAUGGGCGCAAGCCUGAUCCAGCCAUGCCGCGUGAGUGAAGAAGGCCCCCGGGUUGU
rnacentral:rRNA from 1 species